rnacentral:sRNA from 1 species
UUCUUAAAACUUGGAUUGUGUAGCACAAGUCCGUAUGAGUCGUUUGAUUUGUAUCUUCUAACAAGGAAACACUACUUAGACUUUUAAGAUCCGAUUGCGGUUUAAGUUCUUAUACUUAAUCAUACACAUGACAUCAAGUCAUAUUUGAAUCCUAGAAACUAACCAAGCUUCUUCUUGCUUCUCAAAGCUUUGAUUGUGUAGCCGUAGUGCGUAUGAGUCUUUGGCUUUGUGUCUUCUAACAAGGAUACAAGGCUUUUAAGAUCCGGUUGCGGUUCUAGUUGUUAUACUCAAUGAUAAACAUGACAUCAAGUCAUAUUUGACUCCAAAACACUAACCAAGCUUCUUCUUGCUUCUCAAAGCUUUGUUGGUGUAGUCGUGGUCUAUAUGAGUCUUUGUCUUUGUAUCUUCUCACAAGGAAACAAUUCUUAGGCAUUUAAGAUCCGGUUGCGAUUCUAGUUCUUAUACUCAAUGAUACAAAUGACAUCAAGUCAUAUUUGACUCCAAAACACUAACCAAGUUUUUCUUGCUUCUCAAACAAACCUUUGAUGGUGUAGCUGAAGUCCG